rnacentral:rRNA from 1 species
AAACUGCCUGAUGGAGGGGGAUAACUACUGGAAACGGUAGCUAAUACCGCAUAACGUCGCAAGACCAAAGAGGGGGACCUUCGGGCCUCUUGCCAUCGGAUGUGCCCAGAUGGGAUUAGCUAGUAGG